GACGAACUGUCCAAACGUUGUUCGGAUUCAUUGGGCGUAAAGGGCGCGUAGGCGGCGGGGUAAGUCGGGUGUGAAAUCUCAGAGCUCAACUCUGAAACUGCACUCGAUACUGCUCUGCUUGAGGACUGGAGAGGAGACUGGAAUUCACGGUGUAGCAGUGAAAUGCGUAGAUAUCGUGAGGAAGACCAGUGGCGAAGGCGGGUCUCUGGACAGUUCCUGACGCUGAGGCGCGAAGGCCAGGGGAGCAAACGGG
rnacentral:rRNA from 1 species